AUUGAACGCUGGCGGAAUGCUUUACACAUGCAAGUCGAACGGCAGCACGGACUUCGGUCUGGUGGCGAGUGGCGAACGGGUGAGUAAUGUAUCGGAACGUGCCCAGUCGUGGGGGAUAACGUAGUGAAAAUUACGCUAAUACCGCAUACGAUCUAUGGAUGUAAGCGGGGAUCGCAAGACCUCGCGCGAUUGGAGCGGCCGAUAUCAGAUUAGGUAGUUGGUGGGGUAAAGGCCCACCAAGCCAACGAUCUGUAGCUGGUCUGAGAGGACGACCAGGCAGACUGGAACUGAGACACGGUCCAGACUCCUACGGGAGGCAGCAGUGGGGAAUUUUGGACAAUGGGCGAAAGCCUGAUCCAGCCAUUCCGCGUGCAGGAUGAAGGCCCUCGGGUUGUAAACUGCUUUUGUACAGAACGAAAAGGUUUCUACUAAUACUAGGAGCUCAUGACGGUACUGUAAGAAUAAGCACCGGCUAACUACGUGCCAGCCGCCGCGGUAA
rnacentral:rRNA from 1 species